AUAGCGUAAUUAAAGUGUGCGGUAAAAGUUGUAGUUGAUCUGGNUCCGCACCGUCGGUUCACGCCGUCGGNUUCAACUGGCGGUAUGCGGACGUCCUGCCGGUGCGGUCCGGUUCCCGUCGGUCGUAGGGCCGUCCUUGCUCUGCAUGCGUCGUCCCCGAAGGCCUUCGCGGUGCAUCCGGCCGCCUUUUCAAUCCCGUCGCGGUGCUCUUCACCGAGUGUCGAGGCGGGCCGGCACGUUUACUUUGAACAAAUUAGAGUGCUUUAAGCAGGCCCUGUCCCGCCUGUAUGUUGUGUGCAUGGAAUAAUGGAAUAGGACCUCGGUUCUAUUUUGUUGGUUUUCGGAAUCUGAGGUAAUGAUCAAUGGGGACAGGCGGGGGCAUUCGUAUUGCGACGUUAGAGGUGAAAUUCUUGGAUCGUCGCAAGACGGACCGAAGCGAAAGCAUUUGCCAAGUAUGUUCUCGUCGAUCAAGAACGAAAGUUAGAGGUUCGAAGGCGAUCAGAUACCGCCCUAGUUCUAACCAUAAACUAUGCCUGCCAGCGAUCCGCCGAAGUUCCUCCGAUGACUCGGCGGGCAGCUUCCGGGAAACCAGAGCUUUUGGGUUCCGGGGGAAGUAUGGUUGCAAAGCUGAAACUUAAAGGAAUUGACGGAAGGGCACCACCAGGAGUGGAGCCUGCGGCUUAAUUUGACUCAACACGGGAAAACUCACCAGGCCCGGACACCGGAAGGAUUGACAGAUUGAGAGCUCUUUCUUGAUUCGGUGGGUGGUGGUGCAUGGCCGUUCUUAGUUGGUGGAGCGAUUUGUCUGGUUAAUUCCGAUAACGAACGAGACUCUAGCCUACUAACUAGGCGUACCCGGUAUCCACAAUCGUGCUACCGGCGACCAAAUUUCUUCUUAGAGGGACAGGCGGCUUCUAGCCGCACGAGACUGAGCAAUAACAGGUCUGUGAUGCCCUUAGAUGUCCUGGGCCGCACGCGCGCUACACUGAAGGAAUCAGCGUGUCUUCCCUGUCCGAAAGGACCGGGUAACCCGCUGAACCUCCUUUGUGCUAGGGAUUGGGGCUUGCAAUUGUUCCCCAUGAACGAGGAAUUCACCAGUAAGCGCGAGUCAUAAGCUCGCGUUGAUUACGUCCCUGCCCUUUGUACACACCGUCCCNUUGNUCAGGGGUU
rnacentral:rRNA from 1 species